rnacentral:ncRNA from 1 species
AAGAAUAAGAAUAUGAUGUUGGUUCAGAUUAAGCGCUAAAUAAGGACAUGACACAUGCGAAUCAUACGUUUAUUAUUGAUAAGAUAAUAAAUAUGUGGUGUAAACGUGAGUAAUUUUAUUAGGAAUAAUGAACUAUAGAAUAAGCUAAAUACUUAAUAAAUAUUAUAUAAAAAGUAUAUUUAUAUAAUAAAAAAGAAUAUAUUAUAUAUAUUUAUCUAUAGUCAAGCCAAUAAUGGUUUAGGUAGUAGGUUUAUUAAGAGUUAAACCUAGCCAACGAUCCAUAAUCGAUAAUGAAAGUUAGAACGAUCACGUUGACUCUGAAAUAUAGUCAAUAUCUAUAAGAUACAGCAGUGAGGAAUAUUGGACAAUGAUCGAAAGAUUGAUCCAGUUACUUAUUAGGAUGAUAUAUAAAUAAUUUAUUUUUUUAUAAAUAAAUAAAUAAUAUAUAUAAAUUGAUUAAAAAUAAAAUCCAUAAAUAAUUAAAAUAAUGAUAUUAAUUACCAUAUAUAAUAAUGGAUAUAUAAUAAUUAUAAUAUUAAAUAUAUUAUAAUUUAAUUAUAUAUUUUAAUAGUCCUGACUAAUAUUUGUGCCAGCAGUCGCGGUAACACAAAGAGGGCGAGCGUUAAUCAUAAUGGUUUAAAGGAUCCGUAGAAUGAAUUAAUUAUAUAAUUUAGAGUUAAUAAAAUUAAUUAAAGAAUUAUAAUAGUAAAGAUGAAAUAAUAAUAAUAAUUAUAAGACUAAUAUAUGUGAAAAUAUUAAUUAAAUAUUAACUGACAUUGAGGGAUUAAAACUAGAGUAGCGAAACGGAUUCGAUACCCGUGUAGUUCUAGUAGUAAACUAUGAAUACAAUUAUUUAUAAUAUAUAUUAUAUAUAAAUAAUAAAUGAAAAUGAAAGUAUUCCACCUGAAGAGUACGUUAGCAAUAAUGAAACUCAAAACAAUAGACGGUUACAGACUUAAGCAGUGGAGCAUGUUAUUUAAUUCGAUAAUCCACGACUAACCUUACCAUAUUUUGAAUAUUAUAAUAAUUAUUAUAAUUAUUAUAUUACAGGCGUUACAUUGUUGUCUUUAGUUCGUGCUGCAAAGUUUUAGAUUAAGUUCAUAAACGAACAAAACUCCAUAUAUAUAAUUUUAAUUAUAUAUAAUUCUAUAUUAUUUAUUAAUAUAAAGAAAGGAAUUAAGACAAAUCAUAAUGAUCCUUAUAAUAUGGGUAAUAGACGUGCUAUAAUAAAAUGAUAAUAAAAUUAUAUAAAAUAUAUAUAAAAUAUAUUUAAUUAAUAAUAUAAAACAUUUUAAUUUUUAAUAUAUUUUUAUAUUAUAUAUUAAUAUGAAUUAUAAUCUGAAAUUCGAUUAUAUGAAAAAAGAAUUGCUAGUAAUACGUAAAUUAGUAUGUUACGGUGAAUAUUCUAACUGUUUCGCACUAAUCACUCAUCACGCGUUGAAACAUAUUAUUAUCUUAUUAUUUAUAUAAUAUUUUUUAAUAAUUAUUAAUAUUAUUAAUUUAUAUUUAUUUAUAUCAGAAAUAAUAUGAAUUAAUGCGAAGUUGAAAUACAGUUACCGUAGGGGAACCUGCGGUGGGCUUAUAAAUAUC